rnacentral:lncRNA from 1 species
AUUAAUUAGCUUUGCUUUAAUAAUUUGUUAUUUAAUAAUGUAUAUAUUAUUAGCAUUGGAUUCUCUUAUCUCUUUUAAAAAAAACAAAAAAUAAAUGAUAAGAAUCUCACUAUCCCAACGUCUCUCUGCACUACAAAAACACUCUCCACUACUAACAACCUGACCCCAUUCCUCUCUCGUACCAACAUAAACGACAAAAAAUAAAGGUAAUAAAAGAUACUCUCUC